UACGUAGGGCGCAAGCGUUAUCCGGAAUUAUUGGACGUAAAGAGCUCGUAGGUGGUUUGUCGCGUUGUCCGUGAAAACUCACAACUCAAUUGUGGGCGUGCGGGCGAUACGGGCAGACUGGAGUACUGCAGGGGAGACUGGAAUUCCUGGUGUAGCGGUGGAAUGCGCAGAUAUCAGGAGGAACACCGGUGGCGAAGGCGGGUCUCUGGGCAGUAACUGACGCUGAGGAGCGAAAGCGUGGGGAGCGAACAGG
rnacentral:rRNA from 1 species